rnacentral:rRNA from 1 species
CGACUUGGAGGUUGUGCCCUUGAGGCGUGGCUUCCGGAGCUAACGCGUUAAGUCGACCGCCUGGGGAGUACGGCCGCAAGGUUAAAACUCAAAUGAAUUGACGGGGGCCCGCACAAGCGGUGGAGCAUGUGGUUUAAUUCGAUGCAACGCGAAGAACCUUACCUGGUCUUGACAUCCAGAGAAUCCUGCAGAGAUGCGGGAGUGCCUUCGGGAACUCUGAGAC